rnacentral:snRNA from 1 species
GCAAUAUUCUAACAACCACCCAACAGAAACGAUACAGAGAAGAUUAGCAUGGCCCCUGCACUAAGGAUGACACGCUACAUCAAAGAGAAGCUACCAAUUUUU